rnacentral:lncRNA from 10 species
GCUGCCAGGACCUGCAGAACUCCAGAUGGAUUCCCCUGGCUGACACUUGAAAGAUUUUUGCUCUAACUUAAUAGAAAUGACAGACUGGCAAAGCCAUAGUUAAAUCAGCUGGAGGAGCCACAAAUCAAAUCAUCUUUACAGAAAGAUGUGAGUGCACAUGGAAAUUUAUGGAGUCUCUCAGCAUUGUAGAAGAGCCUCUGUUUCUUCUCACUGGUUCCUGUCCUCCUCAGCUUGGUAUAUAACUCCUGAGGGCUGAAUACCUGGUUGCUGAAGGAUCCAGUCCCUGCCCUAUAACCGAGGAAGAAUUUCUACUUCCCCUUCCUGUCCAGAAGUGAUAUUCCCAGAUGAAGUGAGAAAUUAUAUGCUCUCUGGGAAAUGGCUAUCUGCAAAGACUUGUGGCAUUCUACUUUCUGGAUAUAUUGCCUUAUGUCUGGCAAACUGUACUGAUUAAAACUUUGAACAGAAGAAGGAAAAACUAAUUUGGAAGGGCUAAUCAAGACUCUCCAUAGUCCAAAAGGGAUGAUUUCUCAGUUGUGCAGAGAACCAAUAAACCUCCAUCCUGAGGACAAAAGUAAUUUUGUGAAACUGCAUGAAGUUUCUCUAGAGAGAGAGACUUCACAAAGCCCAGUGGUCACAGCUGUGCAGUGGAACCGAACUACUUUGAAUCUCUGCCAUCAAAGGAAAGAAUCUCAGGAUUUUCUGCUACAGAAGCAUGAUCGUGUUUAAAUUCUUAAAAUGCUGCAUUAGCAAGAAUUCUCCACAGAAACAGACUCUCUCUCUAGAGUUGAGAGAGAGAGAGAGUUAAUAUAGGAAUUGGCUCAUGGGACAAUGGAGGCCAAGAAGUUCCAGAAUCUGAUGUCUGCAAGCCAGCAAACAAAGCCAAUAAUGUAAUUUAGUCUGAGUUCAAAGGCCCAAGAAUGGAGGUACUGAUGGUAUAAUUCCUGAUCUGAGUCUAAAGGCCCAAGAACCAGGAACACUCAUGUUAACAGAAAAUGAAUAGGCCAGGUGCAGUGGCUCACACCUGUAAUCCCAGCACUUUGGGUGGCUGAGGCCGGCAGAUCCAUCGAGGUCAGGAGUUUGAGACCAGCCUGACCAACAUGGUGAAACCCUGUCUCUACUAAAAAUACAAAAAUUAGCUAGAUAUGGUGGUGUGUGCCUGUAGUCCCAGCUACUUGGGAGGAUGAGCCACAAGAAUGAACCCAAGAGGCAGAGGUUGCAGUGAACUGAGGUUGCGCCACUGCACUCCAGUCUGGGUGACAGAGCAAGAAGAAAAAAAGAAGAGAGAUUAAUGUCUCGGCUCCAUAAGGAAAGAGAAAAU